AACAAAAGAUAUCAAAUGGCGUAAAUGAUAUGUUUGAGAAAGGAGUAGCAGAGGUAGAGCACAUUUAGCAGCAGCACGAGAAGAGAAGAACGACGAGCAGAGAGAGAGCAAUCAUGGAUUUUGCUCGUCUCACUGAGGCUUUGGCUUCCAAGUCUUACGAUAAGAUCGCUGAUAUCUGUGACGAUCUCAUGCUUCAGGCUGCAGCGGAGGGCAUUGCUUAUCAGGAUGAAUGGCCUUAUGCCAUCCACUUUCUUGGCUACCUUUACGUUGAUGACAUCAAUAGUGCUCGAUUUCUCUGGAAAUCAAUACCUUCCACUAUUAAAGAAAACCGACCAGAACUGGCUGCUGUUUGGAAAAUUGGCCAAAAGCUAUGGAUUCGGGACCAUGGGGGUGUAUAUGAGGCUAUUCUUGAAUUUGAUUGGUGCCAAGAAGUUCAAGGCCUAUUAGCUGCAUUUUCAGAUCUUUACAGAAGGAGAAUGUUUCAGUUGCUGGUGUCUGCUUAUUCUACUAUAAGCAUCCAUGACACAGCAAAGUUCUUAGGAAUGAAUGAGGAAGAAGCAAAAGUUUAUAGCAAUUCGGGAAAGAGCUCGAGGACCAUGGUGGUGAUUUAUGGACUGGACCUUGGUGGUGAUUUUAUUGUUUGUAGACUGAUUCAUAAAAGAUUGUUGGGUAGAACCAAUACAAGAAGUUGAAGAAAUUAAAUGAAAAGUCAUCUACAAUCUGGCUAUGGUGGGGACCUUUAAUGAGAAACAACCUUUUACUUGGUCCAACAUAAGAUGUAAUGCCGAUUGAUCCUUAUUGAUUUUUUAGUGUCAGAAAAUUGGAUGAACAAGUUUUCUGAUGCCAUUGAAAGAAGUUUUAGAAAAUUUCAUUGGUAUGGAAAUAGAGGCUGCAACACUUCACACCUCCUUCGAUGGCAUAUCCUUAGAUGUCCUUCGGAUGAGAGAGGUCUUGGCAUCAUUGACAUCAGUCUUCAUAACAAAGCUCUCUUGGCGAAGUGGAUUUGGCAUUUUAGACGAGAAAAAGGGGCACUUUGAAGAAAAUUAAUCAAGGAUAAAUCACCGGAGUUUUGCUAGAAGCCUAGCUAUUGGUUGGAAAAAGAUUUCAUCAAGAAGACUAGCUGUUUCUCACUGAAAGGGCAUCAGAGACAUCCAUCCACCUAUUCAGUAAUUGUUGCUCCUAUGCUAUAGUCUUUUGGAACUUCGCCACUGCUGCUGCUUUUGGUUGGUUUGUGGUGCCGCCGAGAGACACCCUCUCCCUCCUAUCACUUACUUUCACUCGCCACCCUUUCAACAAGGAGAAAAGGAUUAUAGGCUCAAUAUAAAUUGGGCUUUAUUGUUGUUCUUUGUGGCUAGUGAUAACCUCUCGUAUCUUCUCUGGAAAUGAGGCAAGGAGCAGAGCACCGCAUCUCUUAUUGGCUUUAUGAAUUUUUUACCUCUUCAAUGGUGUAAAUUGUCUCUACCUUUUUUUCAACAAUUGUGGGGUGGGGUCCAAAUUAUCCGCCUUUGGGAUGAUAACUUGGUAAUUCUAAUUGUAAAGCAUCACCUAUUAUUGUUUUUGUUGGCUUGUUUAAAAAUUCUUGGAACAUUCUAUUAAAUGACUUUGUGCAUAGUUCAUGAAUUUUUUUA